rnacentral:rRNA from 1 species
CCUACGGGUGGCAGCAGUCGAGAAUCAUUCACAAUGGGGGAAACCCUGAUGGUGCGACGCCGCGUGGGGGAAUGAAGGUCUUCGGAUUGUAAACCCCUGUCAUGUGGGAGCAAAUUAAAAAGAUAGUACCACAAGAGGAAGAGACGGCUAACUCUGUGCCAGCAGCCGCGGUAAUACAGAGGUCUCAAGCGUUGUUCGGAAUCACUGGGCGUAAGGCGUGCGGAGGCUGUUUAGUAAGUCGUGUGUGAAAGGCGCGGGCUCAACCCGCGGACGGCACAUGAUACUGCGAGACUAGAGUAAUGGAGGGGGAACCGGAAUUCUCGGUGUAGCAGUGAAAUGCGUAGAUAUCGAGAGGAACACUCGUGGCGAAGGCGGGUUCCUGGACAUUAACUGACGCUGAGGCACGAAGGCCAGGGGAGCGAAAGGGAUUAGAUACCCCAGUAGUC